GACGAACCGAGCGAACGUUGUUCGGAAUCACUGGGCUUAAAGGGCGCGUAGGCGGGUGUGAAAGUCUGCGGUGAAAUCCUCCAGCUUAACUGGAGAAGUGCCGUGGAUACUGCAUAUCUUGAGGAGGGUAGGGGCAUCUGGAACGUUGGGUGGAGCGGUGAAAUGCGUUGAUAUCCAACGGAACUCCGGUGGCGAAGGCGAGGUGCUGGACCCUUUCUGACGCUGAGGCGCGAAAGCCAGGGGAGCAAACGGG
rnacentral:rRNA from 1 species